rnacentral:rRNA from 1 species
GACGAACGCUGGCGGCGUGCUUAACACAUGCAAGUCGAACGGAAAGGCCCUGCUUUUGUCGGGUGCUCGAGUGGCGAAGGGGUGAGUAACACGUGAGUAACCUGCCCUUGACUUGGGGAUAACUUCAGGAAACUGGGGCUAAUACCGGAUAGGAGCUCCUGCUGCAUGGUGGGGGUUGGAAAGUUUCGGCGGUUGGGGAUGGACUCGCGGCUUAUCAGCUUGUUGGUGGGGUAGUGGCUUACCAAGGCUUUGACGGGUAGCCGGCCAGGGAGGGUGACCAGGCACCUUGGGACUGAGAGACGGAGCAGACUCCAACAGGAGGCAGCGGGGGGGAGUAUAGCACAAUGGGCGGGAGCCUGAGGCAGAAACGCCGCGUGCGGGAUGACGGCCUUCGGGUUGUAAACCGCAUUCGCCUGUGACGAAGCGUGAGUGACGGUAAUGGGUAAAGAAGCACCGGCUAACUACGUG